rnacentral:rRNA from 1 species
GAUGAACGCUGGCGGCGUGCCUAAUACAUGCAAGUCGAGCGAACGGACGAGAAGCUUGCUUCUCUGUUGUUAGCGGCGGAAGGGCGAGUAACACGUGGAUAACCUACCUAUAAGACUGGGAUAACUUCGGGAAACCGUAGCUAAUACCGGAUAAUAUUUUGAACCGCAUGGUUCAAAAGUGAAAGACGGUCUUGCUGUCACUUAUCGAUGGAUCCGCGCUGCAUUAGCUAGUUGGUAAGGUAACGGCUUACCAAGGCAACGAUGCAUAGCCGACCUGAGAGGGUGAUCGGCCACACUGGAAGUGAGACACGGUCCAGGCUCCUACGGGAGGCAGCAGUAGGGAAUCUUCCGCAAUGGGCGAAAGCCUGACGCAGCAACGCCGCGUGAGUGAUGAAGGUCUUCGGAUCGUAAAACUCUGUUAUUAGGGAAGAACAUGUGUGUAAGUACCUGUGCACAUCUUGACGGUACCUAAUCAGAAAGCUACGGCUAACUACGUG